UGAGGAAUAUUGGGCAAUGGGCGAAAGCCUGACCCAGCAACGCCGCGUGAGGGAAGAAGGUCUUCGGAUCGUAAACCUCUGUCAGGAGGGACGAUGGGCACUGAUGCUAAUACCAUAGGUGCUUGACGGUACCUCCAGAGGAAGCCCCGGCUAACUCCGUGCCAGCAGCCGCGGUAAUACGGAGGGGGCAAGCGUUGCUCGGAUUUGCUGGGGGUAAGGGUCCGGUGGCGGGGUUGUAAGUUUGAUGGG
rnacentral:rRNA from 1 species